rnacentral:lncRNA from 1 species
UGAAUAAAAUUAGCAGCCCAUGUGCAUAUUCCACCAACCAAAAGUGGGUCCCCCCAUAAAGUUAAUAAAAAACCAUUUUAUUUUUCUAAAACUUCAACAAUUCAUAGAAAAUAGCUCGGUUAUCAGAAAAAUUCAAAACUCGCGGCUUUUCAUGGGAAAUUCCAUUCUCUACAACUUUGCAGAAGAAAGUUUUUCCAAAUUCCAAACAGAAAUUGACCAAAAUCCAUAAACGGGCG